GGCCACUGCAUUAUUCCAGUAUCUCCAGACUACACUGGCCCCAAAGAAGCACUGUUAGCCCUCUCUGGUAACACUGACAAGCCUCACCCAAGGACAAGGACAGACUUUUCUUACUGGCAUCUGAAAACAGCAAGUUGCAAGAGUAAGAACCAAUAAAAGGUUGCACAGUGCCACACUCCUCAAAUGUGGCAGUCCUUCAGUGAGACCUGCAGCUCUCAGUGACUCCCAGCGAUGGACUCAGCUUACAUGACACUACUGAGACCUGCAUUGCAAUAAUAAGCCAUUGAAGUGAUUGUUCAUUAUACAUAAUUAAGAUGUUGGUUAACCAUGACAUCCAGAAUGAACGCUAGAGCAAAGACACUAUGCUAAAUCUGGAGCAGUAUUCCAACCCAUCAAGAUAUCAGUGUGAUUGACAGAUCAGAUAAUCUCUUUAGUAAUCCUCUGAAUUCUAAACACAGACACCCAUAACUCAAUGGCAGAUAAGAACAUGCUGUGGUUAUACUCUACCACAGCGGAGAACAGAGUUUCGGUUGACUGGCUUUGUUCACUCACUGUUGGCACAAGGCUGUUUGAGCAUCUCUGUGU